GAUGAACGCUAGCGGGAGGCCUAACACAUGCAAGCCGAGCGGUAUUGUUUCUUCGGAAAUGAGAGAGCGGCGUACGGGUGCGUAACACGUGUGCAACCUGCCUUUAUCUGGGGGAUAGCCUUUCGAAAGGAAGAUUAAUACUCCAUAAUAUAUUAAACGGCAUCGUUUAAUAUUGAAAGCUCCGGCGGAUAGAGAUGGGCACGCGCAAGAUUAGCUAGUUGGUGAGGUAACGGCUCACCAAGGCGAUGAUCUUUAGGGGGCCUGAGAGGGUGAUCCCCCACACUGGUACUGAGACACGGACCAGACUCCUACGGGAGGCAGCAGUGAGGAAUAUUGGUCAAUGGGUGCAAGUCUGAACCAGCCAUCCCGCGUGAAGGACGACUGCCCUAUGGGUUGUAAACUUCUUUUGUAUAGGGAUAAACCUACCCUCGUGAGGGUAGCUGAAGGUACUAUACGAAUAAGCACCGGCUAACUCCGUGCCAGCCGCCGCGGUAAGAC
rnacentral:rRNA from 1 species